GAAAGGGGAAGAGAGAGAGAGGAUCCAAACACCUCAUAAAAACAGAUACUCAAAAUCUUCCGUUGUCCGAACAGGUUACUCCCAGAGCUCAAGAUUCGUCUCUAUCUGAAACUCGAUGAGAAUGGGGAAAACGAGAGAAGAAGUUCUAACCUACGCCUAUAUUCUCCUCUACAUUGGCCUCUCCAGCGGUCAGAUCUUCUUCAACAAGUGGAUUUUAUCAUCGAAGCAAAUUAACUUCCCCUAUCCUCUUGGAUUGACUCUUCUACACAUGGUGUUCUCCUCUGUUUUGUGUUUUAUCCUCACCAAAGUUUUCAAGAUUAUGAAGGUCGAGACGGAAAUGACUUUAGAUAUAUAUGCUACAUCAGUUGUUCCAAUUGGUGCGAUGUUUGCAAUGACUCUGUGGCUGGGAAACACUGCAUACCUGUACAUAUCUGUUGCAUUUGCACAGAUGUUGAAAGCUAUCAUGCCCGUAGCUGUUUUCAUCCUCGGAGUAGCAGCUGGCCUUGAAGUAAUGAGCUGCAGAAUGCUUUUCAUAAUGUCUGUGAUCAGUUUUGGAGUUCUUGUGGCAUCUUAUGGGGAAAUAAAUGUUAACUGGGUGGGAGUGGUCUAUCAAAUGGGUGGGGUGGUUGGAGAAGCUUUGAGGCUCAUUUUCAUGGAGAUUUUUGUGAAAAAGAAGGGUGUCCGACUCAACCCCAUAUCUGUCAUGUACUAUGUGAGCCCAUGCAGUGCUCUGUGCCUCUUUAUUCCAUGGGUAUUUCUAGAAAAACCGAAGAUGGACGCUGCUGGGCCCUGGAACUUCCCACCAGUUAUAUUGGCCCUCAAUUGCCUCUGCACUUUUGCACUCAAUCUGUCAGUUUUCCUUGUCAUCUCCCAUACAAGUGCACUGACCAUUCGUGUGGCUGGAGUUGUCAAGGACUGGGUGGUCGUCUUAUUGUCAGCCCUUCUAUUUGCAGAUACGAAGCUGACGGCUAUAAACCUAUGCGGUUAUGGCAUUGCCAUUGUCGGGGUGGCAGCUUACAAUAACUACAAGUUAAAGAAAGAAGCUGCACGUGCGGUUAUGCACGAACAAGCCAAUAGCUAUCAAGAUAAGCCUGUAGGUGGUCAGGUCAGACCAAGGGACAUGCCCUCAACUCUUAGUGAAGAAGACACAUGAAUGAGCACAUACCAUUCUGAGUGAUGAUGCUAAUUGUUUGCUGUUAUUUGAGGCACACAGGAAUCCUUCAGCUGCAAAGGUGGUGGCAAGCUGCCUCCUACUGCCUACUGUAUGAUAAUGUGGAAGUAUUUGGGAAUUUCUUUGACAGAUUGGGAGCAGAGACGGUUGUCAGGUCAGGACAAGAGCUGCUCUGUAGAAUUGAGUCCAUCGGUUCCUAUCAUGUAAAAAAUCCCACACGGGUUCUGCAUUGCAUUUUUUCUUUUUCUUCGCAGGUGAUUCUGCAUGCACCCAUCAAGUUGAUUGUUACUAUACCUUUUUUUGUGCUGUACCGCCUGCGGUUGGAUUUGACAAGGUCUAUGCCUCAGUCAUUUCAGCUGUGAGAGAUUUCUAUAUGGUCGGUUAAAUUCU